GGCAGAGAGUUUGAUCUUAGUUUAAUGCUGGGUUCAGACGUUUCAGACCUCUUCGGACGGUGGAAUGAUCAAACGGUCGUUAAUUGAAGUAGCCAUGCUUUAUAAGCUUAUAGUUGUUAAUUUACUUAGGAAAUAUCCCACAUUUUACGGAAGAAAGGUUAAUUACCGUGUUUACAAGAGGCCACCACUCUACUUAUUCCGAGGAUUAAUUCGAGUUGAAUGUGACAUUCGGUGUUUAUAACGGCGGUAACUGUUAAGAUCACUGUCUUCUGGACUGUAAUGAUAUGUAGUCGAGUAGAAGGUCGCAAAUGUUUCAGAGGAAUAUGUGCCUUCAUCGUCGAGGUUGAAGAGCAAACCAAGCGAACAACCAGCAAGAAGUAUACUGUAUAUAUUUUUUUCUUCUAAAAUUUAGAAUAGCGUUAUUGCAAAGUUAUUGAGUUGAGGACUACUGCGCAGUACUGGGUGCUUCCUUGGCUUACUCUUUGACCCGGAAGAUGAAGUCGUACAUUUCUUCAAAACAUCCAUCAUGCAGCAUAACGGAAUCACCAUUGUGUGACAACAGCCUUCAGAUGACAUGUGGAAAUGUUCGUGACUUUUAUUUGUGAGGUGACUGGUUCAAAUCUUGGCCGAGACACGGACUAUCCUGAGGUAUUCCGUGGUUUUCCUUAGACCCUUCAGAGGAGACAUGAAUGCAUGCAUAACAACAGAGGGCUUUUGCAACACCUGGAAUAAUCUGGAUGGUGAUGUUGAAAAUGGUUCCUCUGCCAGGAGACACAGGCCAACAUGAUGCUUCAUGUUUGUAUAUGUCCAGAGUCAGCAUAUGAGGAGGAAUCACAUGGAAUCACAGACCAAAAGAAAUGGUACAAACCAGGCAGACAUGCACUUGGUCAGUGUUACCAGGUUUCAUCAUAAUCAGUAAAUUACUAUGUGAUUUUUAAUUACUAAUGUGGGUUCUCCUCCAUGUGAAUCACCCUAUAUUAAAAUGAAUCGCGAUUGCCUUAAGUUGACUCUUCUGGUGGGUUUAAAUAUGAUACUUUUGUACACAAAGAAACCACUCAAAGGGGAAACUCAGAGAACCAAAUGUGAAACUAGAGCCUACUGUAACCAUUGGAUGCCCUGUCAGCUUCAGUCUUUCUUAACCAUCAACAUUAAAUAGUGAGUGGUUACAACCAGGGAGAUGCUUACAGGGUAUUGACCUAAGGAUAGAUAACUAUGAAAUUAUGUAACUGAAAUCAACCCCUCCCCCUCUUCCAAUGAGCACGUAGAUAGUGCAAAUAUAUGUAGGUUUAUUCCUUACAAUCACCAGCCACCUACGAACUGGAAAUACUACUGGCAGGAAUUUGUGGAGCUACGAGUAGACCACAAACUCUGAAAAUCCUCCUUGAAAGACCCUGAGUCCAUAUUGCCUUUUUAUGUGGGUACCGGGUUGCAGGAUGGUUUGACACAACAUAGUAUCAGCACCCCAAGGUUUACAGUAAUUGUUGGCAGCUGAGACAGGAUAACAGACCAUGGUGUAACAGUGGUCUUGAUCUUAAUGCUCAUGACUCUAUAAUUAGGAUCAUACUACACA